rnacentral:rRNA from 1 species
AUUGAACGCUGGCGGCAGGCCUAACACAUGCAAGUCGAACGGAGUGGCGGACGGGUGAGUAAUGUCUGGGAAACUGCCUGAAGGAGGGGGAUAACGCCCGGAAACGGGCGCUAAUACCGCAUACUAUCAGAUGAGCCUAGGUCGGAUUAGCUAGGUGGUGGGGUAAAGGCCUACAAAGGCGAAGAUCCGUAACUGGUCUGAGAGGAUGAUCAGUCACACUGGAACUGAGACACGGUCCAGACUCAUACGGGAGGCAGCAGUGGGGAAUAUUGGACAAUGGGCGAAAGCCUGAUCCAGCCAUGCCGCGUGUAUGAAGAAGGUCUUCGGAUUGUAAAGCACUUUAAGUCGGGAGGCGUUACCAACAGAAUAAGCACCGGCUAACUUCGUGCCAGCAGCCGCGGUAAUUC